CCCCGAAGUCGUCAUUAUCUCAGCCUUGCUUGUGAUAAGAUAAAGCGUCCCAUAUAGACUGGUUCAAAUGUGACGUCUCUUGCGGGUUAUUAUGCUACAUUUGCUAAAAGCCGGACAUUUAGCGAAUUUAUUCACGCACAUUUUAUCCAAGCACACAGAACAGAGAUCCCAGGUGACUCUUUUGCAAGCCCAUUCACAGUCGUCCUGAGGGGAGACAGACUCAACACUGUUCUCUGUUGAGCUGCUAAUCACAGGACCCUAUCUAAUAAUUGACUCAGCACAGAAGGAGGGGCAACCCGGGCCACCCUGAGGCUUAUGAGCUCACUGUUAACAAACACAGCCUGUCGUCCCUGUCUUCAGCACACGGAAACUUAAAUGAGCAGGCAAAUUGGCAUUUUCACGCAGUCUCCUAAUGACGUAGUCUUAAACGCACUCGUUACGUCACAUUUGGAAGUUUCUUUGGUCAGAGGGGUGCUGUGAUCAGCAGAGGUUGUCUAACUGAAGCAGACAUGGGACUGAGCUGCUGUAUAAUGUCUGGCCCUUGCCCUCAGUGCAGGGAAAGCUGUGGGGACAACUGUCUUUGUGCCUGUCACAUGGACGAGCCGUGUGCGGACCGCUGCUGUAACCUGUUCUGUCAGUUCUGUCUGGACUGCUUCUGUCUCAUCUGCUCGGACGACUGCCGCUACACUCUGUGUUUCAUGUGCACCAGGAUGGCCGACUCCUGCACUGCUGUUCUGACCACCGAGCAGCCCAGAUCUACACAGAAACUAAGAGAAGGUUCUCAUCUGGAAGGAGGCCAACUGAUUUAGAUCACCUGAUAUACGUAAAGGAACUUGAUGGGUUGGAUGAAGACUUGUUUCCUACUUCAUGAUGCCAUUUUUUUGUACUGCAAGAGACUGAAAACUAUGAAGGAAAUGUUUUUUUCUAAAGUAGCCCAUUUUUCAUUUGUAGCCCAUGAUGCAAUGUGUAUAUACAGGAUUGCACAAUUUGUAUUGCACACUGAAUACUGUAUGUUGUAGCAGCAAAUACAACUGAUUCUGUGAAUUAUAAAAGUGUCUAGAUCAUCUGUUCAAAAGUGAAAACACUUUGCACUCAUGCCAAAAAAACAAACAAACAAAAUCUCAAGUAUGACUGACUUUCAAAUGACAGGCAGGAAAACUAGCAGCACUCCUAGAAGACCUCUCAGCCAAUCAGAUUUGAGGACCAGAAUUAACAAAAGAUUUCAAUUUCAAUCAGUGUGGUUCUUUAAAAUUUCUGUUAAUCAAAGAAUCCUGAAAAAAAGGAAGAAGUUUAGAAGUGAAAACACUUGUGCACUCAUGCAAAAAAACAAAAAGCGAACAUUUUGCUUGACAUGGUAUGCUCCUGAACAUCUGACUCUCAGAGGACAGGCAGGAAAAACUUGAUUUGCACGCCCUGUGGAACGCGCCGUCACAGAGGUACAGUAUUUAUAUAAGAAUCCACCCAUGUAUAUGUCAGACCAGCCCUGUCAACAUCGCAGGAAAGACAACUUAGGUAAUUUUGAGUUAACUUAUUGAAAUUGAGUGACUUUUAAAAGGUGAAAAGAGGACAGCAGAUACAAACAAGAAGUGGGACUGAAGAAGAAGAAGAAAAGGAAGAUUAAAGAAAAAAAAGAAGAUUCUAAACAUCUGAAGGCACUUGAAAAAGGCCCGAUCCAGGAGACUAGCCAUGGAGGAGGAUUACAAGAACCCACCACCGUCCUAUGAAGAAGUUAUUACCCAUCAGCACACGAGCAACACUAAUCAAAGCCGCUCCGCUGAUAAGACGCAGGGCUGCUGCUGCAGGUGCUGCAUAAGCACCAAGAACUGUCUGAUGAGUCCGGAGUGCGGCCGAGCUCUCAACAUCGCCAGUGUUGUUGCCAUGUGUGGCAUGUGUAUUCGAAUGUUUGUUUAACACAGUCUCUUGUGGACCAUCUAUUCCAGAUCUCUCAUCCAGCGGUGGCCUUCUCAAAUUAAAAAAGACAAACAAAGGCGUUUGGUCUGUUCCAAAACCUAGUGAUCUGCAACAUUUAUAAGCUCUUCCCCAAUGCAAAUCCCAAUGCUAUUCCAAAAAUAGUCGGCAGCGCAGCAUGUAUCAUUCACAGAUAAGGUAAUCCCAGAACACAUUGUGACUAAAAUUUCCAUUUAAAAUAGUAAACAGCAAUUUCAAAGUAUAAUCUAUAAAUCCAAAGUAUAAUUUAAUCAGCUUUGACAAAUCUCAUUGUGAAAUGUGCCAUGUCGUAUGCCAUUUUUCAAGUCUUUAGCUUAGCAACAUGCUAACAUGAAACUCGACUUGACUGAGCCUCUCAUGUGCUUCAUUGGUCUCAUUCAUGAAACAGCAGCACAAUGAAUUUGUAAAUCAUUUGUAAAAUCAUUCUUAUGUAAAUUGUGGCAUUUAAUUGAAUAUGAAUGAGUGACCUCAUGCUGUCUAUGUAGAAUGUUUUAGUGACUAAAGGUGCAGUCACAUUUAUUGCAUACGAAAUAAAGUCUUUUCAAUAAGAAUGUGAUGGAUUGGGAAUUUA